rnacentral:rRNA from 1 species
GACGAACGCUGGCGGCGUGCUUAACACAUGCAGGUCGAACGGAAAGGCCCUGCUUUUGUGGGGUGCUCGAGUGGCGAACGAGUGAGUAACACGUGAGUAACCUGCCCUUGACUUUGGGAUAACUUCAGGAAACUGGGGCUAAUACCGGAUAGGAGCUCCUGCUGCAUGGUGGGGGUUGGAAAGUUUCGGCGGUUGGGGAUGGACUCGCGGCUUAUCAGCUUGUUGGUGGGGUAGUGGCUUACCAAGGCUUUGACGGGUAGCCGGCCUGAGAGGGUGACCGGCCACAUUGGGACUGAGAUACGGCCCAGACUCCUACGGGAGGCAGCAGUGGGGAAUAUUGCACAAUGGGCGGAAGCCUGAUGCAGCAACGCCGCGUGCGGGAUGACGGCCUUCGGGUUGUAAACCGCUUUCGCCUGUGACGAAGCGUGAGUGACGGUAAUGGGUAAAGAAGCACCGGCUAACUACGUG